rnacentral:hammerhead_ribozyme from 1 species
AUCCAGCCGACGAGUCCCAAAUAGGACGAAACACGAGUCUUGGAU